rnacentral:rRNA from 1 species
AUGGAAGUUUACCCCCGGCCUCUGCAUCACAAUGAUGCAUGCAGCCAUCUUAUUAAAAGUAUGCAAAGUAGCACAAAGUCUCAAAAGUAUUACAGCUCACAAGCGGAGCGAAGCAAAAGAAAAACGGAAAAGUACAUGCUGACAAUCACAAACGGUACGGUAAUAUGUAGGAUAAGGUUCCUAGAGUCCUAUCCUGUUAUGCGACCGCCAUCCGAACCGGUUGAAUAUAGCCCGUGCUACCAUCUCCCACUGGUUGCACCCAGUAACCAAAGGCUCCCUGGAGUCCAUAGGAGUGAGUAA